CUCGGUCCUCGGUAGUGGCCUCCGGAUCGUUGCGCACAGCGCGACCCGUGGGCCUCGAUCGAAGACCGGC
rfam:Nocardioides sp. Soil805 contig_1, whole genome shotgun sequence.